CGAAUAUGAGAAGAUACAUCUAGUGUUCCCUACGCCAUCUCUGACAUUACUGUUGCAUCCCAUUUAAAGAAAAUCCAAUCCAAUAAAGCACCUAGCUGGUCCAGAUGGCAUACUGAACAGGAUUCUCAAUACGUUUUCCAUGGAGCUCUCUGAACCUGUGACAAUUAUAUUCAAGAUCUCUAUUAAACAGGCACAGGUCCCAAGGCAGUGAAAAGAAGCGGAUGUUAUUCCAGCCCAAAGACAACCCCAGUAACAGAUAUAUUCUCAGAUCUUCGACCUAUAUCACUAACUGCUACAUUGUCAAAAAAAUCUUGAGUCGCUCCAAUCUCGAAGGAUCAUGGACACUAUUCAUUCUAUAUUGGAUCAAAGGCAAUUUGGUUCAUUAAAAGGAUGUUCCACCGUGGAUGCGUAAUUAGCAUGUUCCAUUGUUGGUUUUUAGAUUCCAAUGCAAUGGCGAAACUGUACGUGUUUCCCUAUUAGAUUUUAGUAAAGC
rnacentral:lncRNA from 1 species